CGGACGGGUGAGUAAUGCUUGGGAAUCUAGCUUAUGGAGGGGGGUAACUACGGGAAACUGUAGCUAAUACCGCGUAAUAUCGAAAGAUUAAAGUGUGGGGACCUUCGGGCCACAUGCCAUAGGAUGAGCCCAAGUGGGAUUAGGUAGUUGGUGAGGUAAAGGCUCACCAAGCCGACGAUCUCUAGCUGGUCUGAGAGGAUGACCAGCCACACUGGGACUGAGACACGGCCCAG
rnacentral:rRNA from 1 species